rnacentral:lncRNA from 1 species
GAAAAGAUUGAUUUUAUUCUAUUUUUAAGGUUUUAUGUGAUCAGUGAUUUCAUGCAAAAAGCAAAAAGUGAAAAUAAUUGGAAAAACAAACAUUUAACAUGAAUUUAUUGAAUGAAAAUAUCAUUGUAUUUAUGAGCCAACAAUGUCAUCACUCCUCCUUUUGUCAUGGGAGAAGGUUUUUUUGAACAAAACGAACAUUACGUUGACUUAUGGACAACUGUUGGAACAUCAACAACGAC